AGUGAACGCUGGCGGUAGGCCUAACACAUGCAAGUCGAACGGCAGCACAGUAAGAGCUUGCUCUUACGGGUGGCGAGUGGCGGACGGGUGAGGAAUACAUCGGAAUCUACUUUUUCGUGGGGGAUAACGUAGGGGAACUUACGCUAAUACCGCAUACGACCUACGGUUGAAAGCAGGGGAUCUUCGGACCUUGCGCGAUUGAAUGAGCCGAUGUCGGAUUAGCUAGUUGGCGGGGUAAAGGCCCACCAAGGCGACGAUCCGUAGCUGGUCUGAGAGGAUGAUCAGCCACACUGGAACUGAGACACGGUCCAGACUCCUACGGGAGGCAGCAGUGGGGAAUAUUGGACAAUGGGCGCAAGCCUGAUCCAGCCAUACCGCGUGGGUGAAGAAGGCCUUCGGGUUGUAAAGACCUUUUGUUGGGAAAGAAAAGCAGCAGGUUAAUACCCAGCUGUUCUGACGGUACCCAAAGAAUAAGCACCGGCUAACUUCGUG
rnacentral:rRNA from 1 species